GGGGUUGUAACUCAGUGGUAGAGUGUUCACCUCGCAUAUAUGAGGCCCUGAGUUUGAUCCUCAGCACCACA
rnacentral:tRNA from 1 species